ensembl:lncRNA DPY19L2P2 DPY19L2 pseudogene 2
AGUCAACGGCUCGUCAACGGCUGCGGGGACAAGUCCGUUGAGGCUGCCAGGCGAGUCAGGCCUUUCUGGACCUCGCCUGACUCGGCUGGGCUGUGCCUGAAAUUGACCCAGCUCCACUAGGAAUUAUGAAGAAACAAGGAGUAAGCCCAAAGCCGCUGCAAUCUUCCCGCCCCAGCCCGUCUAAGCGGCCCUGCGGGGCCUCCCCCGCCCGGGAGCGGGAGGUGGAAAAGUCGGCCCUAGGCGGCGGGAAACUGCCGGGGGGCGCCAGGAGGUCCUCCCCGGGGAGGAUCCCAAAUCUGAAAAAGCGAAAAGGCUUGGAGCUAAAGGUGGUGGCCAAGGCCCUUCUCGGCCCCUUCCAGUUCGUCUGUAAUUCCCUGGCGCAGCUCCGGGAAGAGGUGCACGAACUGCAGGCGCGGUGGUUCCCCAGCAGAACCACUCUGCAUCGCCGUCUUUGUGGCAAUUCUACAUUGAAUUCUGGAGUCCAAGGAAGACCAAGAUCAAGGCGCCAGCAGAUUUGGUGUCUGGUGAAGGCUGCUCUCCGCUUCCAAGAUGGUGCCUUGAUGUUGCAUCUUCCUGAAGGAGAGGAACACUGUGUCCUCACAUGGCAGACAGUAGGAGAGUAAUCAUAGCCUCCUGGUAUCGCACAUUCAUGGGAAUAGUGAAUUUAUUUGGACUAGAAACUAAGACCUGCUGGAAUGUCACCAGAAUAGAACCUCUUAAUGAAGUUCAAAGCUGUGAAGGCAUGUUUCCUCCAAAAAUGCUGUCAUUUGUAAACAUUCAUAAACAUUUAAUAAUAUUAUGAUUCA